CAUGCUCACAUUCUCACAACAGGCGUCUCUAACGACACGGAUCUCACUGAAAUUUUCUCUAUCACAGACACAGCAAGCGCAUGCUCACAUUCUCACAACCGGCGUCUCUAACGACACGGAUCUUACAACAAAGCUUCUGUCUCAAUUUGCAAAUCACCAAGACUUCGAUGAUGCAAACCAAAUCCUUUCUUCUUCUCUUGAGCCGACAACGUUUUCUUACUCUACUAUUAUCUAUGCCUACUCGAAACAAAAUCUUUUUACUCAAUAGCUCAAUGUUUUCGCUCAAAUGCUCUCUCACGGUCUGACACCUAAUACUUGUUGCCUGAUAUUCUUAAGGCUCGCACCGGAUUUUUGUCAUUGGAAAGGGGAUAACAAGUUCAUGCAAUGGUAUUUGUAUACGGGUUUAAUUUAGAUCCGUUUGUUCAGACUUCUUUGGUUCUUAUGUACGUUAAAUGUCAGAAGAACGUUGGGACGCUCACAAGGUGUUUGAUAGAUUAGCGUAACCGGGCGUGAAAACUUUUAGUGCUCUGCUUGCUGCUUACUCGCCACAAGGGUGUGUGGAUGUAGCGAAAAAACACUUUAACGACAUGGGUCUUUCAAGAAUGGAACCCGAUGAGUUUCAAGAGUGGAACCCGAUGAGUUUAGCUGGAAUGGUAUGAUUGCAGGGUUUAAUAACAGUGGACAUUACGAAGAGACGGUUCUUUUGUUUCAAAGGAUGCAUUUUGAAGGAUUUACGCCUGAUGAGCAUAGUGUUUCUAUGUUCUUUCCGCUGUGGGCGACUUGGAGAAUCCCGAACUUGCAGUUGGUUUUGUUAAUUUGAUAGAAUUAGUGUUAAUCGGAGCUUGAUUGUUGUUAUGUUGCGUUGCCGUGAGUUUGUGUUUUUUUUUUUUUCCAGCCGCCAAUCUUCCCAAUUGUACCAUUACUGCAUUUUCGAAAGUUGGCAUACCAACUGUCGAAUGUGUUGACUUGUUUUUUAGGCAGGGCAAUUUGCUGGUGAAGUUAGAGCCUCUAGACUGUUGUUGUUCUUGAAUGAGCCCUAAUAGGCUUUCGGUUGCUAGGACUGCCAAACAAGUCUUAGUUCUCAAGUGACAUUUUUUUUUCAGGAGGUAAAAAGAAUAUAUAAGAGGAAUCAGCACAAAGGAAUAGCUUUAGUUCUUGGAAAAAAUCCACUGUAAGACAAAUUGUAUAGUGAAGGAAGGAAGAUAAACUGAACUUUCGAAGUGUGGCUUAUGUUUGGUAUGUGAAUUCAUGAAUAAUAGAUGUAUUGGUAUUUAUCUGAAUUUAGUUUUAAUUGAAUGAAUAGAGAGGAGAUCUUCAACAACUUGCUUGUUGAUGGGAAUAUGAUGGAAGCGGUAUAGCAGAUAUCUGAUGUCACUAUAUCUAUAAGCUCAUAGAUUUUGCAAUGGAAAUUUUGGCAUUAAUACUUCUGCUUUCCAAUUAUUGUUAUUCUUAAUGUUCAAUUUGUUGGUAAAAUUGUCUGCAAUCCUAAACAGCCAUGAAAUACAUGGGUACGAUACUUAUAUGAUAUCAUAAAUUCAAACCUAUAGACAUGUGUCUUUAUCUUGUUUUUGAGUUCUAUAUUCCCCUGGUUUACUACUAUUGUAUCUUAACAAUAUAAAACUCUUUUUUACUUUCUUUUGAGGAGAGUACCAUUUCCCCAUGCUAAAUAAAGUUGUCACUGAAUUUACUCACAUUGUUGCUGUCAGGACUAUAGGGAACGUGUUCUGCUAUGAUGUAUGUUUUUUGGAUUGUCAUCACUUUUAGUGAUAUUACUUCAAGUUCAUGUAUAUAGAAUGUAGAUAAAUUCUUCAUCUUUGUACUCUUGUCUUAUAGGCAAUCAAAGAAUUAAACAUCAAGAUGAAGAAUUAAUAAGAGCUCCUAACUGAUGAACCUUUCACUAAGGAAGACCUUAUAACAAUUCAGAAUCCUAAUGCUCUUGAGAACAAGGUUACUCUUGAUUUUGAUCUUGUUAAAAAAGGUCUGAAACUUGAUGAUGAAGAACUAAAGAAAAUGAAUUCAGAUCCAACCUAUAACAUAAACAUUGCUGGAGAUAUCAAGCAGAUGUUACAGGAGCUUGGAACUGAGAAAGGAAAACAAACUUUACUGCUUAUUAACUAUCAGCUGCCUUUAGAAAUUAUCAGUGAUGGAGAAGGUUCUUGUUGAUGCAAUUAAGAAGAGGAAGGGAAGGCCAAAGAAGAGGAAAAUGCUGAGGAUGAAGAUAAAGUUCGU